rnacentral:rRNA from 1 species
UACGAAGGGGGCUAGCGUUGCUCGGAAUUACUGGGCGUAAAGCGCACGUAGGCGGCUUCUUAAGUCGGAGGUGAAAUCCUGGAGCUCAACUCCAGAACUGCCUUCGAUACUGGGAAGCUCGAGUCCGGGAGAGGUGAGUGGAACUGCGAGUGUAGAGGUGAAAUUCGUAGAUAUUCGCAAGAACACCAGUGGCGAAGGCGGCUCACUGGCCCGGUACUGAUGCUGAGGUGCGAAAGCGUGGGGAGCAAACAGG